UUAGCUCAGUUGGUAGAGCGACGGACUGUUAAUCCGCAGGUCACUGGUUCGAGCCCA
rnacentral:tRNA from 1 species